rnacentral:rRNA from 1 species
UGGGGAAUAUUGCACAAUGGGCGCAAGCCUGAUGCAGCAACGCCGCGUGAGGGACGACGGCCUUCGGGUUGUAAACCUCUUUUGGCAGGGAAGAAGCGAAAGUGACGGUACCUGCAGAAAAAGCACCGGCUAACUACGUGCCAGCAGCCGCGGUGAUACGUAGGGUGCAAGCGUUGUCCGGAAUUAUUGGGCGUAAAGAGCUCGUAGGCGGUUUGUCGCGUCUGCUGUGAAAACCCGAGGCUCAACCUCGGGCCUGCAGUGGGUACGGGCAAACUAGAGUGCGGUAGGGGAGAUUGGAAGUCCUGGUGUAGCGGUGGAAUGCGCAGAUAUCAGGAGGAACACCGAUGGCGAAGGCAGAUCUCUGGGCCGUAACUGACGCUGAGGAGCGAAAGCAUGGGGAUCGAACA